GGAGGUAAUGCAACAAUUUAGUUACAGUAUGGGUUUGAAAAUGUUUGACUGUCGGGAUAAGCUGGUACAUUCACACCUUUUAAAUGAGGACAUAAUAAAGUUCUGGAACAAUGACUAUAUAUUGAAUAGAACAGCAACUGGGUGUUUAAUAUUUUGUACUAUGGUGGCACUUGACCUGGUGGAGGCUCGUGGUCUGAUAGAAUCAAAUGCUGUGGGGUUCUUGACAGCGAAGGGGGCGGAUGAUAAGAUGGUUAAAACUCUACUAGAUCUCUAUAGACAAUGCGCACGCGCCGUGAAGCAAGUACACCACUGUGCCGCUACCUUGGAACUCGCAAAUUGCUUUCGGAAAGGUAUAUGGAAAAUUGGCUGGACACCUGAUAUCCAACCAUUAUUAGUCGCACGACGACGAGAUU